GGCUCGUUGGUCUAGGGGUAUGAGUCUUGCUUUGGGUGUGAGAGGUCCCGGGUUCAAAUCCCGGACGAGCCC
rnacentral:tRNA from 2 species